rnacentral:rRNA from 1 species
GAUGAACGCUGGCGGCGUGCCUAAUACAUGCAAGUCGAGCGAAUGGAUUAAGAGCUUGCUCUUAUGAAGUUAGCGGCGGACGGGUGAGUAACACGUGGGUAACCUGCCCAUAAGACUGGGAUAACUCCGGGAAACCGGGGCUAAUACCGGAUAACAUUUUGAACCGCAGGGUUCGAAAUUGAAAGGCGGCUUCGGAUGUCACUCAAGGAUGGACUGGCGGCCUAUCAGCUAGUUGGUGAGGUAACGGCACAACAAGGCGACGACGGGUAGCCGGCCGGAGAGGGUGACCGGCCACACUGGGACUGAGACACGGCCCAGACUCCUACGGGAGGCAGCAGUGGGGAAUAUUGCACAAUGGGCGCAAGCCUGAUGCAGCAACGCCGCGUGAGUGAUGAAGGCUUUCGGGUCGUAAAACUCUGUUGUUAGGGAAGAACAAGUGCUCGUUGCAUAAGCUGGCACCUUGACGGUACCUAACCAGAAAGCCACGGCUAACUACGUGCCAGCAGCCGCCGUAA